UACGUAGGGGGCGAGCGUUGUCCGGAUUUAUUGGGCGUAAAGAGCGUGUAGGCGGCCAGGUAGGUCUGCUGUGAAAACUCGAGGCUCAACCUCGAGACGUCGGCGGAAACCAUCUGGCUAGAGUCCGGAAGAGGAGAGUGGAAUUCCUGGUGUAGCGGUGAAAUGCGCAGAUAUCAGGAAGAACACCCGUGGCGAAGGCGGCUUCCUGGCUCAUUUCUGACGCUGAGACGCGAAAGCGUGGGGAGCAAACAGG
rnacentral:rRNA from 1 species